GCGCGGGAUUGGGGAAGCCGCAAGCACGGCCGGCGGCGAUGUGGCGCGGGAGGGGGCGUGUCAUUUCGGUGGAGCAUGCGCGGGAGCGAUGGCAGGGGGCGCUGCCGCCAGAGGUAGGGUUAGGGGGAUGAGACGCAGGAGGGGAUUUCGUGCGAGAGAGGAGAAGAGAACGCUUGGCCUUUUCUUUUUUUCUUUUUUUUUAAGACAAUGCUUGGCUUCUUGACGGAUUGACUAACGUGGACUCACGGUGGUGGUACUCUGGAACCAAAAAAGUGAAUAGUGAUGGUAUUUUGGAAAGCUUGAUUUUUUUAGUGGUAUUUUGGAGUCUCAGGUUUCCCUUAGUGGUACUGUGUCAAUUUUCUCAUUUUUGUUUGCGUUUUGUACUUUUCUCCUGUAAAAAAAAGUUGCCUGACCUACUAGCCGCGUCGGGUAGACCUGCGGGUCUGGCAGACCCGAGUCGGGUCCUCGUCUGGUAGAAUGUCAGACCCGGAUGUCGGGGCCGGGUCCGGGUCGCGGUUUCGGGAAGCAAAAGGAGUAGAAGGAGGAGCGGGAGAGCGAUGCGGGUACCGCGUUAGAUGCUCCGGUGGAGAUGAGGCGCCCAAGGAGGGAGGAGGAAGGGGCCUCGGAGCAACGACGCUUGAAGUUACGUAACCUCCGUCACCUC
rnacentral:lncRNA from 1 species